rnacentral:tRNA from 1 species
GGGCCUGUAGUGUAGCGGUGAACAUGCCUGCCUGUCACGCAGGAGAUCGCGGGUUCGAAUCCCGUCAGGCCCGCCA